UGACUUGUACAUUUUAAUUCUCUAUCAGCCAUAAACACACUGCAGCAUUUGAUUAUUAUACCAUUUGAAUAAAACUAAUACAUGCCCUCGUAAAUAUUUAUAUAUGUAUAAUAUCACAUAUGUAUAUAAAUGCCGUCACCGCGGAAACAGAAUGCUGAUUGGUUAAAUUAAAAGCCGGACCGACCCAGUCACAGUGAACUUCCACUAGUUUUGCAUUUGUAUCACUUUUUAGUUUUUGUUUUUUUAAAUCAUUUUUAAACGUCACUCUCACAGUAACCAGUGACAUCAGUGAAGUACAUACAUGACAUGUGGUAGAUACAUACAGUAGCUAAACGCUCUGAGCGGUGAGUGAUACUGUGUACACAUACUGUCAACCUGCUCGACCACACCUCUAGGUCAGGUGUGUCUCUGUCCCGUACCUGCCCUCAUAUACUUUCUACACGGGCCUUUCCCAUUGGCUAGACAUACAGAACCCAGCCUGCAUGGGGCUGUCUGAUUGGCUACAAAUACUGUAUUGUGCCUAGAUGGGCCUUUCCCAUUGGCUAAACAUACCAUUUCCUGUGUCCUUGUGCCCAAAGCGUGGAGGUGUGCCCCCUUCUGACAGCGAGGAGGGCAACGUGGUUGUUGUGAAAUAAAGUUCAUUUUUCUCUGCUCAUGUCGUCACAUUCACACACACACACACACACACACACACACACACACACACACACACACACACACACACACACACACACACACACACACACACACACACACACACACACACACACACACACACAACCACUAACACCCGGUCCCACACUCUCAAGGGCCGAUAAGUAAUCAAUAAUCACAUUGAUAAAUCAAACAAAGAACCAUCCGAGAAGCUCUCGUACCAACCUCGGGUCUGCUGCACAAAUGGCUCCCUAUUCUCUAUGUAGUGAACUACUUAAGACCAGGACCCUAUUCCCUAUGUAGUGAACUACUUAAGACCAGGGCCCCUAUGGGUUCUGCAUAGGGAAUAGGAUGCCAUUCGUGACACAGACAUCUUCAUAUCAGAGGACUGCUUCUAAACGAGACAGUCAUGAUCCACACCUUAUCAACUUAUACACAGCGUAUUCACCAUUGGGAAAAUAAAUAUGAAAUAAAUAAAUACAUCUAAUAAAGGAAGUCUCCAUAACAAACCAACAAACCAAACAAAGAAAACGAGUUCCUUAUCUAGUUAUCUAGUUAUCUAGUUAUCUAGUUAUCUAGUUAUCUAGUUAUCUAGUUAUUAGUUAUCUAGUUAUCUAGUUAUCUAGUUAUCUAGUUAUCUAGUUAUCUAGAUAUUAGUUAUCUAGUUAUCUAGUUAUCUAGAUAUCUAGUUAUCUAGUUAUCUAGUUAUCUAGUUAUCUAGUUAUCUAGUUAUCUAGUUAUCUAGUUAUCUAGUUAUCUAGUUAUCUAGUUAUCUAGAUAUCUAGAUAUCUAGUUAUCUAGUUAUCUAGUUAUCUAGUUAUCUAGUUAUCUAGUUAUCUAGUUAUCUAGUUAUCUAGUUAUCUAGUUAUCUAGAUAUCUAGUUAUCUAGUUAUCUAGUUAUCUAGUUAUCUAGUUAUCUAGUUAUCUAGUUAUCUAGAUAGUGAACUGAACCCGAAACUAGAGAAGAAGAACUUCAAAAAAAAACAAGGAAAGAAUUGAACCAAUAACAGAGAAGCUGCUUUUACCAAACCACUCCCUUCAUAGCAGCAAUUCAGGUCUGACACACACACACACACACACACACACACUUGCACUAAUUCACAUGCACGCACGUCAAACAAUGAGAUGAGGUUGGAAAUGUUACAAACCAUGGAGAGAUAAACAGACGGGAAGAAAGAUAGAGAGAGAGAUACAGAGAGAGAGAGAGAGAGAGAGAGAGAGACAGAGAGAGAGAGAGAGAGAGAGAGAGAGAGAGAGAGAGAGACAGAGAGAGAGAGAGACAGAGAGAGAGACAGAGAGAGAGAGAGAGAGACAGAGGAGAGAGAGAGAGAGAGACAGAGAGAGAGAGAGAGAGAGAGAGAGAGAGACAGAGAGAGAGACAGAGAGAGAGACAGAGAGAGAGACAGAGAGAGACAGAGAGAGAGACAGAGAGAGAGACAGAGAGAGAGACAGAGAGAGAGAGACAGAGAGAGAGACAGAGAGAGAGACAGAGAGAGAGACAGAGAGAGAGACAGAGAGAGAGACAGAGAGAGAGACAGAGAGAGAGACAGAGAGAGAGACAGAGAGAGAGAAAAGGAUCAAGGCUAUAUAUAAUUAACCAUAUCUCAGCUAUGAUCGUCACCAGCUAACCGACCAAUCAUGCCUACUCUACCUGGUAAUGGAGGGGACUAAUAAGGUUGCCUAGGUUACAGAUGACAAACGUUUUUUUUUUCAAACCACAUAUUUAGAUAUAGCUACUUUCUGAAGAACAAGAACACUAAACACUCCAGCAACAGGAAGCAGGAAGCAGGAAGCAGGAAGCGAGGACUACGGUUAAGGGUUGCUACAGGUGACAUCGUGAUAUCUGACCUAUUUUUAAAAGAAAGGUCAAUAUGAGGAAGAGGAAGUGCUGUAGUUUUCACGUCGUAGUGAAGAAUAACUAAGAACUGUAGUAGUAGUAGUAGAGACAGGUAGUGCUGUGAGGUGUACAUCGUAGCGUCUGUUAGUCCAACCACCUACUCUAGCAGUACAACACAUGUAUGACUAAUGUCUGUCUGUGUUCUGCCACAGCAUCAGAUACACAAAACAAACAUGGGAAAAAAACCUCUCUUUGGUCACAAAAAAAAAAAAUGAAAACGGAACAAACACACAAAGAAGAAACAGAAAGAAAGGAAGUGAUUGUUGAAACAGGAAGACGGUGGUAGGACUGAGGUGCACUCUGGGAUUGCAUGUGCCUGAUGCAUAGGAUUGGUGGAUCUUCAGGGAAAGGGGCGGUGUCAGAGGCCGAACAGGAAACUAGCGAGGCGAUAAAGGAGGCCUGUUAUUCCUUUUUCCUUCCCUCUUCCUCCUCAUCCCCCCCUCCUCCUCCUCCUCUUCCUCCUCCUUCUAACAGUAGAGGUGGAUGAGGUGAUGAAGGUGCUCCAGGAGAACCUGUUUCCUGUUACCACAGGCUCCUCCCCCCUCACUACUGUCCGUCUCUGGGUACGUCCCUUACACAUCUUGGCCCUGGGGGGGGUAGAGAGAGUGAGAAGAGAGAAGCGAGGGAGGAGAGAGGAGACGUAGAGAGAUGGAGAAGAGAGGGAGAGGAGGGGGGGGGGGGGGAGGAGAAGAGAGUAAAGAGAGAGAAAGUUGGAGAGAAAAAGGAGGGCAGCGAGAGAUGAGAGACAGAGCGAGAGAGAGGAGAGAGAGAGAGAGAGAGAGAGAGAGAGAGAGAGAGAGAGAGGAGAGACAGAGAGAGAGAGAGAGAGAGAGAGGAGAGACAGAGAGAGAGAGAGAGAGAGAGAGAGAGAGA
ensembl:lncRNA